AAGCCAUUAUGCGGGCAAUCUGUUACCAGCCUCUUAAACCUCACCCAGGCGUCAAUGAGCGAUUCGUCAAUAUUCUGUUCAAAAUUAGUGAUCGACUUCCUUGUUCU